rnacentral:tRNA from 1 species
AGUCUUAUAGUUUAUUAAAACAUUAAAUUGCAAAUUUAAAAUAGAUACUAAUUCUAAGACUU